AUUGAACGCUGGCGGCAUGCCUAACACAUGCAAGUCGAACGAGUGGCGGACGGGUGUGUAAUGUCUGGGAAAUUGCCUGAUGGAGGGGGUUCACUACUGGAAACGGUAGUUCAUACCGCUUAUCAUCGGGUGCGCCCAGCUUGGAUUAGAUAGUAGGUGGGGUAAAGGCUCCCCUAGGCGACGAUCCCUAGCUGGUCUGAGAGGAUGACCAGCCGCACUGGAACGGAGACACGGUCCAGACUCCUACGGGAGGCAGCAGUGGGGAAUAUGGCACAAUGGGCGCGAGCCUGAUGCAGCCAUGCCGCGUGUAUGAAGAAGGCCUUCGGGUUGUAAAGUACUUUCAGCGGGGAGGCGUUACCCGCAGAAGAAGCACCGGCUAACUCCGUGCCAGCAGCCGCGGUAAUUC
rnacentral:rRNA from 1 species